GUGGGGAAUAUUGGGCAAUGGGCGAAAGCCUGACCCAGCAACGCCGCGUGAAGGAAGAAGGUCUUCGGAUCGUAAACUUCUAUCCUUGGUGAAGAUAAUGACGGUAGCCGAGAAGGAAGCCCCGGCUAACUACGUGCCAGCAGCCGCGGUAAUACGUAGGGGGCAAGCGUUGUCCGGAAUGAUUGGGCGUAAAGGGCGCGUAGGCGGCCUGGUAAGUCUGGAGUGAAAGUCCUGCUUUUAAGGUGGGAAUUGCUUUGGAUACUGUCGGGCUUGAGUGCAGGAGAGGUAAGUGGAAUUCCCGGUGUAGCGGUGAAAUGCGUAGAGAUCGGGAGGAACACCAGUGGCGAAGGCGACUUACUGGACUGUAACUGACACUGAGGCACGAAAGCGUGGGUAGCAAACUGGAUUAGAUACCCGUGUAGUCC
rnacentral:rRNA from 1 species